rnacentral:rRNA from 1 species
CUUGCAUAAACAUAAGAGGUCCAGCCUGCCCAGUGACUUUGUUCAACGGCCGCGGUAUCCUAACCGUGCGAAGGUAGCGUAAUCACUUGUUCUUUAAAUGAGGACUAGUAUGAAUGGCACCACGAAGGUUACACUGUCUCCUUUAUCUAAUCAGUGAAACUAAUCUUCCCGUGAAGAAGCGGGAAUAAAAAUAUAAGACGAGAAGACCCUAUGGAGCUUUAAACACACUAAUAAUUGCCUUACCCACGCCACUUCCAGAAAAACAACCAAAAUUCAGGCAUUAUAAUUACAAGUUUUAGGUUGGGGUGACCACGGAGCAUAACAAAACCUCCGUAAUGGACGGGAAUUUCCCCCUAAACCAAGGGCCACAGCCCCAAGAAUCAAUAAAUUGACAUCUAUUGACCCAAUACAUUUGAUCAAUGAAC